UACGUAGGGUGCGAGCGUUAAUCGGAAUUACUGGGCGUAAAGCGUGCGUAGGCGGUUCGUUAAGUUCGUUGUGAAAGCCCCGGGCUCAACCUGGGAAUGGCAAUGGAAACUGGCGGGCUGGAGUAUGGCAGAGGGGGGUGGAAUUCCGCGUGUAGCAGUGAAAUGCGUAGAUAUGUGGAGGAAUACCGAUGGCGAAGGCAGCCCCCUGGGAUAACACUGACGCUCAUGCACGAAAGCGUGGGGAGCAAACAGG
rnacentral:rRNA from 1 species